rnacentral:rRNA from 1 species
UACAGAGGGUGCGAGCGUUAAUCGGAAUUACUGGGCGUAAAGCGCGCGUAGGCGGCUUUGCAAGUCGGGUGUGAAAUCCCCAGGCUUAACCUGGGAACUGCAUUCGAGACUGUUCGGCUAGAGUGUGGGAGAGGGCAGUGGAAUUCCCGGUGUAGCGGUGAAAUGCGUAGAUAUCGGGAGGAACAUCAGUGGCGAAGGCGACUGCCUGGCCCAACACUGACGCUGAGGUGCGAAAGCGUGGGUAGCAAACAGG